AGUCAAACAGGUUUCAUGAUUUAAAUUUAUUUGUUGUUAUAAAAGCUUAACAUUCUUCUAUGUUUGAGGAAGUCAGAUCUAGACUAGCAACCAAUACAUCUAAGGAUUUGAUCUGGACUCGAGCAGAAUGAUUUCGUAUUUGACAUUUGUUUCUUUUCUAUGCCUACCAGUAGCUGAAACUUUCUUAAUGCGGGAUAAAUGUGGAAGUAAAUCUUUUAACCCCAAUUUUGAUAUUUGCUGCAAUGGUGUCAUCAAUAAGUAUGGGAGGGGAAAAGACUGCUGUGGAACCAAAGCCUUCUACCCUCAUCUGGCCACCUGCUGUAAUGGAGUUGUCAAUACCCCUACCUACGGCAGGGGUUACAAGUGUUGUGGAACUAAAUCAUACUACCCUAACUUUGAUAGGUGCUGCAAUGGACAAAUCUGUUAAAUGUGAUGGCCAUUUAAAAUAA